rnacentral:rRNA from 1 species
GAUGAACGCUGGCGGCGUGCCUAAUACAUGCAAGUCGAGCGAACAGACGAGGAGCUUGCUCCUCUGACGUUAGCGGCGGACGGGUGAGUAACACGUGGAUAACCUACCUAUAAGACUGGGAUAACUUCGGGAAACCGGAGCUAAUACCGGAUAAUAUAUUGAACCGCAUGGUUCAAUAGUGAAAGACGGUUUUGCUGUCACUUAUAGAUGGAUCCGCGCCGCAUUAGCUAGUUGGUAAGGUAACGGCUUACCAAGGCAACGAUGCGUAGCCGACCUGAGAGGGUGAUCGGCCACACUGGAACUGAGACACGGUCAAGACUCCUAAGGGAGGCAGCAGUAGGGAAUCUUCCGCAAUGGGCGAAAGCAUGACGGAGCAACGCCGAGUGAGUGAUGAAGGUCUUCGGAUCGUAAAACUCUGUUAUUAGGGAAGAACAAAUGUGUAAGUAACUAUGCACGUAUUGACGGUACCUAAUCAGAAAGCCACGGCUAACUACGUG